GACGAACGCUGGCGGCGUGCCUAAUACAUGCAAGUAGAACGCUGAAGGAGGAGCUUGCUCUUUCCGGAUGAGUUGCGAACGGGUGAGUAACGCGUAGGUAACCUGCCUGGUAGCGGGGGAUAACUAUUGGAAACGAUAGCUAAUACCGCAUAAGAGUAGAUAUCGCAUGAUAGCUGCUUGAAAGGUGCAAUUGCACCACUACCAGAUGGACCUGCGUUGUAUUAGCUAGUUGGUGAGGUAACGGCUCACCAAGGCAACGAUACAUAGCCGACCUGAGAGGGUGAUCGGCCACACUGGGACUGAGACACGGCCCAGACUCCUACGGGAGGCAGCAGUAGGGAAUCUUCGGCAAUGGACGGAAGUCUGACCGAGCAACGCCGCGUGAGUGAAGAAGGUUUUCGGAUCGUAAAGCUCUGUUGUAAGAGAAGAACGAGUGUGAGAGUGGAAA
rnacentral:rRNA from 1 species